CAGCCACGACACGGGCAGCAGAGACUUCCUGUCCAUCAACCUGGCGGGGGGCCACGUGGAGUUCCGCUUUGACUGUGGCUCCGGGACUGCUGUGCUCAGGAGUGAAGACCCCCUCGCCCUCGCCCGCUGGCACGAGCUGCGUGUAUCUCGAACAGCCAAGAAUGGCAUCUUGCAGGUGGAUAAGCAGAAGGUGGUGGAGGGCAUGGCGGAGGGCGGCUUCACACAGAUUAAUUGCAACACGGACAUCUUUAUUGGCGGAGUCCCCAGUUACGACGCGGUGAAGAACAAGUCGGGCAUCCUCAGGCCCUUCAGCGGGAGCAUCCAGAAGAUCACCCUGAACGACCGCGCCAUCCACGUCAGGCACGACUUCACCCGCGGCGUGAACGUGGACAACGCCGCCCACCCGUGCGUGGCGGGCCCCUGUGCCCC